rnacentral:lncRNA from 1 species
GGACACUAAGCAGAAGGCCAGAGAGGUACUGUUCAAAGAGUGAGCGGUCACCCUGUCCUAGCAUCCAGGCCAUCUUGUCCUGGGGCCCAAGCCUCCUGGCUCACCAUUCAGCACUCCUGAUGAAGAAAUUGAAGCCCAGAAAAAUUAAGUAACUUGUCCAAAUCCAAACAGAUGAGUUAAAAUCAUGAUGACUGUUUAGUGGCUUGAAGACAUUUUGUGUAACAUUUCAGCUUCAAUAAGAAGACGGGAGCUUGGUGCAAGGAUGUUUUACUGGGAGCCUACAGUGGAGCUCAGAAAGUCAUGUUCCGGCUGGACGCAGUGGCUUAUGCCUACAAUCCCAGCACUUUGGGAGGCCAAGGCAGGUGGAUUGCUUGAGCUCAGGAGUUCAAGACCAGCCUGGGCGACAUGGUGAAACUCCAUCUCUGCAAAAAGUACAAAAAAUUAGCCAGGUGUCAUG